rnacentral:rRNA from 1 species
UAGCGUAUUCGUUUGACGUUAGCGACAGAAGAAGCACCGGCUAACUCCGUGCCAGCAGCCGCGGUAAUACGGAGGGUGCGAGCGUUAAUCGGAAUUACUGGGCGUAAAGCGCAUGCAGGUGGUUUGUUAAGUCAGAUGUGAAAGACCCGGGGCGUCAACCUCGGAAUAGCAUUUGUAAACUAGGCAGACUAGAGUACUGUAGAGGGGGGUAGGAAUUUCAGGUGUAGCGGUGAAAUGCGUAGAGAUCUGAAGGAAUACCGGUGGCGAAGGCGGCCCCCUCGGACAGAUACUGACACUCAGAUGCGAAAGCGUGGGGAGCAAACAGGAUUAGAUACCCUGGUAG